AAGGCUUAACGAAAUUCGCACUWAGAGUUUGAUCCUGGCUCAGAACGAACGCUGGCGGCGUGCUUAACACAUGCAAGUCGAACGCGAAAAUUUUCCUCGGAAAGUGAGUAGAGUGGCGCACGGGUGAGUAACGCGUAAGUUAUCUACCUCGGCAUCCGGAAUAACUCACCGAAAGGUGUGCUAAUACCGGAUACGUUGAGUAAUCAAGAAAGGUGGCCUCUGAAUAUGCUACUGUGCUGAGAUGAGCUUGCGUACCAUUAGCUAGUUGGUAGGGUAAUGGCCUACCAAGGCAACGAUGGUUAGCGGGUCUGAGAGGAUGAUCCGCCACACUGGAACUGAAACACGGACCAGACUCCUACGGGAGGCAGCAGUGAGGAAUAUUGCGCAAUGGGGGAAACCCUGACGCAGCGACGCCGCGUGGAUGAUGAAGGCCUUCGGGUCGUAAAAUCCUGUCAGGUGGAAAGAAAUGCAUGGUGGCUAAUACCUGCCAUGUUUGACGGUACCACCGAAGGAAGCACCGGCUAACUCCGUGCCAGCAGCCGCGGUAAUACGGAGGGUGCAAGCGUUGUUCGGAAUUACUGGGCGUAAAGCGCGCGUAGGCGGUUUGCUAAGUCAGAUGUGAAAGCCCAUGGCUCAACCAUGGACGUGCAUUUGAAACUGGCAGACUUGAGUAUUGGAGGGGGUGGUGGAAUUCCCGGUGUAGAGGUGAAAUUCGUAGAUAUCGGGAGGAAUACCGGUGGCGAAGGCGACCACCUGGCCAAAUACUGACGCUGAGGUGCGAAAGCGUGGGGAGCAAACAGGAUUAGAUACCCUGGUAGUCCAAGGCGAAUCGCGCCGCAAA
rnacentral:rRNA from 1 species